UUGGCAGCAUUGGGUUAACGGUGUGACUCAAUGAUUGUAAAGGUUUUUUCCAGCCUAAAUGAUUCUGUGAUUGCAUAAUUCUGUAUUCAUUUGAACAAAAGAGAAACACAAUUUUGGUUAUUUUCUCCAUAGGAUUUCACUUUUUAACAGCUUAAUUUUCUUCCAAACAAAGUCCAUCUUUAGGAGAGAAAAGUCAGUGGCUGCAAGAUCCAGCAAAGAACUGGAAAGAUUUGGCUUCCAUGCCCUCCUCAACCUGUGGGUUGGCAUGGGGGACAGACCCACACCUCUGAACUCUAAUAACUCUUUAGCGUAAAGCUCUUGUGCAGUCCUUUGAGCAGAAAUCAGAACCGGGAUCUCCCCUCUUCUAAAUAGGUGCCCCAAUCAUUUAGCCGCAGAGUCAUGCUCCCUCUUGCUCCCUCUCUUUGACCUAAGGAAUUCUGAUAGAUUUUUUUUGAGCUGGCACAGCAUCAAAAGGUGAAGUGGAGGGAGCCUCCCACCCAGACUAGCCUAUAGCCUGGUAGUCAGGUCCCAAGAUGAAAUGAACCAUCUUUAUUCAGGCUGGGAACAGGGCAUGCCGAAACAUUUCAUAUUAGGGUGUGUAGUUUAUGUGGGGCUGUAUCUCCAUAUUAAAGUUUCACUCUUAGGCAACUGUAGCUGACUGUCAACAACACUCACAAAUCCUUCCCCGGACAAAUACUCUAGCACUCCUGCUUUUAAAAAAGUCACACUGUAAAUGUAUUAGUACACAAUCUCUGUUUGAUUUUCACAAGUUAAAACUAGAUUAAUACAUCUGGGAGGAAGAAUGGUGUGUUACACGCAGGGGUUAGCGUGCACUUUUUCAGCAUGGGUACUAUGUAUAAAAUAUUUAUCGCUCGGAGAGAACAAUGCAAUGAAAAACCACCCCAGCCAAUCUGCCAAGGUCACUACAUGUUGUUUUGCAAGGCUGUGGCUGAAUCCAAACAGAUUAUAAAAAUGGACCUGUUCAUUGACAGGGCACAUGGGAAAGAGGAAGGAGAGAUCAUACAGGCAACAGUUGCAACAGCUGCACUGGGACACGAGCAUCUUUGGUUUUCCUCACAAAGCUUGUUUGAUAAACGCCAAGGAAUACAGCACUGUUGACAAAGUCCUUCUUACAACAACAGUACUCAGAAUGGAAAGGGGGAUAAGUUGGGAACUGGCAUGUUCUAUCUGUGGCAAACAUGGCUGAAAUAUUAGCUGAUGUGGCAACAGUUUGAAUAAAUAGGAGCUGGUAUGCUAAAUCCUAGUGAUGUUGGCUGGUGAAUACUGCUUGAGGUUUAAGGUGUGGCAACUUUUCUUUACAGACUCAUUGGCACACGCACACUGAGCCUUAUUACAUCUCAUUUACUGAAGCUGGCACACCUUGGGGGGUUUUCGGUUUUUUGUUGUUGUUUUUUAAGGAAAGAAGAACUGAAUCAUAAGAAGACAAGAUGGGAGAUGUCAAGUCUGAGGCAUAUAUGUUUGAAGUUCCUGAAAAAAGAAACCAAAGAGCCCAAAUCAGAUCACUCUAUCUCAGCAGCACAUGCUGAGUGAAAAACUCAGUGAGAAAAAUUUUGAAUCUGAGAUGGGAAAGAAAGAUCAGGCGUAAAAAAAAAAAAAAAAUGUUUGUAGGCUCCUCUUUAAACUAGAUCCCUAGCACAACCUGUUAUGGGUAACAAAAAUUUUUAUAUCCCUCAUCCAUUUUGGUAUGUUAACGCAGCAUACUGUUUGCAGUGCAGUACACACUUUCUCUCCAGGCUUAGCUGCUUCUACUUUUCUUCUAAGAUGUGUGCUACCUUAUCCCACCUGGACAUCUCUGCCAAGGAGCCCCUCCCAAUCUCCUCAUAUACUAGUAACAGUACAGAUACAAAGAAUGAGUCAGAAAAAUGUACUUAAAAUUCUCUGCCAGAAUUAACAGCUGAUAAUGCGCUGUCAAGCUAGCACCUGGAUAAUUUCUAAGGUUCUUUGACAUCUGCAGGUCACCAUCAGUCAUUAAAAAGGCAGGCUUUUAUGUAGAAUACAUGAAAAAAAUAGCUUUUUUUGCUGAAAAGGAAAAAGUAAGAUGAAAAAAAAAAAGUCAUAUUCCAAAUUAGGACCAACCUGAAGGCCAGUAGAAUUGCUUUCAGAGUGGAAAUGAGAGGAAAAGCAUGAGAAACCUUUAACAGAAUCAACAGCUCAGGAGAUUUAAGUGCCUGCUGAGCCACUCUCCUUUAUCCCAGAGGGACACCUCAACUAACAAGUCUCUGCUUAUACUGUAUAGGGUUCAUAUCAGUCUUUCCAGAUGCAACUUUACAUUUUUUAAUAAAACAAUGAGAUAAGUCUUCAGAAAAUGUCUCACCAGCUCUAGUUUUUAGUGAAGAUAUAUACCAGGAAAUUAAGAAAAAGUACUGGGCCUUUUUUUUCCCCUCAAAUAUACUGGAAGGCUUGCUGCUAAUGUAAUUCCUAAACCAAUACUGUAUUAAUUUUAAACCUACAUUUAUCAAGCAAUUAUGGAAUUAUUUACAGGUUUCAGAAGUAAUGAGGAAAAUGGGCAUAUAAUAUAUCAUAUUUGGUAUUUUUGCUUUCCCAUGUUUUGAUACACAAGUCUGCAAAACAGGAUGCAGAUUUAUUUCUACCAUCUAGUACUAAAUAACCAAAGAGUAAAUAUAUAGUUUUGUGACCUUUGCCUUACAUCCACUAAAACAAGGCAAAGUAAACGUUAAAACACUAGUGAAGGGAAAAAAAAAACCCAAAACAAAAAAAAAACAAAAAAAAAAAAAACAAAAAAAAAAAAAAAGGAAAAAAACCCAGCCCUGGUGAGUCGGUUAUAUUCUACAUUUCAAGCAGAAGCAGACCUUGAAAAGCCAAAAGAAACCCCUUCAUUGCUGUUCCUGAAGGCAGAGUUAAGUGAGAAUCAGGGAAGAGUUUUCAUAAUUCAUGAGCAGAGGAAGACUAAGGGAAAUCAAGGCAAUAGCAACAGGGCCAAACAAAUUACAGUAGUGUCUGAAAUUCCAGAAAUACAAAGAGUAAAAGGGGUGGGUGGCCUUUACUGAUGAAUUACAGAUUACUGAAACAGAAAAUAUAUUUCUGGAUAUAUUGCAACGUGCAUGUCCAAAAGCAGCUGGCCAAAAAUCUGCAGCCACGGCUCACUGCCCUUGCCCCAGCGAGAUGGGGGAAAGAGUCAGAAGAGCAGAAGCAAGAAAACUCAUGGGUCAAGAUAAAGACAAAUUGCCUGAGCCAUUAUGUCCCAAGAGUGCAGCACAGCAACAUGCACAAAUACUGCCUGGUGCUGGAAAGAAGAACGGUUGCAUCAGAUGUAGAUGGAAGCAA